rnacentral:rRNA from 1 species
AUUGAACGCUGGCGGCAGGCCUAACACAUGCAAGUCGAACGAGUGGCGGACGGGUGUGUAAUGUCUGGGAAACUGCCUGAUGGAGGGGGAUAACUACUGGAAACGGUAUCUAAUACCGCAUACCCUCAGAUGUCCCCAGAUGGGAUUGGCUUGUUGGUGGGGUAACGGCUCACCAAGGCGACGACCCCUCGCUGGUCUGAGAGGAUGACCAGCCACACGGGAACUGAGACACGGUCCAGACUCCUACGGGAGGCAGCAGUGGGGAAUAUUGCACAAUGGGCGCAAGCCUGAUGCAGCCAGGCCGCGUGUAUGAAGAAGGCCUUCGGGUGGUAAAGUACUUUCAGCGGGGAGGCGUUACCCGCAGAAGAAGCACCGGCUAACUCCGUGCCAGCAGCCGCGGUAAUAC